AGUCGAGGGGUAGCAUGAUUGUAGCAAUACAAUUGAUGACGACCGGCAAACGGGUGCGGAACACGUACACAACCUUCCUACAAGUGGGGAAUAGCCCAGAGAAAUUUGGAUUAAUACCCCGUAACAUAGCGAUGUGGCAUCACAUUGCUAUUAUAGCUUCGGCGCUUGUUGAUGGGUGUGCGGCUGAUUAGAUAGUUGGCGGGGUAACGGCCCACCAAGUCUACGAUCAGUAGCUGAUGUGAGAGCAUGAUCAGCCACACGGGCACUGAGACACGGGCCCGACUCCUACGGGAGGCAGCAGUAAGGAAUAUUGGACAAUGGACGCAAGUCUGAUCCAGCCAUGCCGCGUGAAGGAUUAAGGUCCUCUGGAUUGUAAACUUCUUUUAUAAGGGACGAAAAAAGGUCUUUCUAGAUCGUCUGACGGUACCUUAUGAAUAAGCACCGGCUAACUCCGUGCCAGCAGCCGCGGUAAUACGGAGGGUGCAAGCGUUAUCCGGAUUCACUGGGUUUAAAGGGUGCGUAGGCGGGCAGGUAAGUCAGUGGUGAAAUCCUAGAGCUCAACUCUAGAACUGCCAUUGAUACUAUCUGUCUUGAAUAUUGUGGAGGUAAGCGGAAUAUGUCAUGUAGCGGUGAAAUGCUUAGAUAUGACAUAGAACACCUAUUGCGAAGGCAGCUUACUACGCAUAUAUUGACGCUGAGGCACGAAAGCGUGGGGAUCAAACAGGAUUAGAUACCCUGGUAGUCCACGCCCUAAACGAUGGAUACUCGACAUACGCGAUACACUGUGUGUGUCUGANCGAAAGCAUUAAGUAUCCCACCUGGGAAGUACGUCCGCAAGGAUGAAACUCAAAGGAAUUGGCGGGGGUCCGCACAAGCGGUGGAGCACNUGGUUUNAUUCGANGAUACGNNANNNA
rnacentral:rRNA from 1 species